rnacentral:ncRNA from 1 species
UAAGGUAUCUGAAAGAUCAGAUUCAAUAGGGAACACGGGUGAGAAUCCCGGACAGUCCCGCUGCUGUAUUUCUCAGGUAACGGUUCAGGAUGAGCGGCCGCUCCCAUGGCCGCAACAAACGCCACUGGCUUUUAUGCCGGGAAGGUUCCUGGACUGAUGAGAUAAGUCAGAAGACCUGCCUUUGAUUCUA